rnacentral:lncRNA from 1 species
AGUUAAAAUACGUUCAGGACAUCAUACCUACUUAAUGUUUGCUCAUUUUUGCUGUUCUCAUAUCAGGAGAAGCAGGUAAGGAUGUGAUCGCCCUUUUACUCAGAAAUUUUGCUAUUUUAGUUCUCAGUAAAAUAUUAAAACUGGCAAUUCUUCUCUAUAUACUGCCAAGCUUUUUAAAGAAUGUUACCAAUAAUCUGUUCUAAUUGAGCCACAUCACAGGCAUUUUAUAUAACUCUUAGCAUCAAUUGUUUGGGGAAAGAUCUAAUGGAUGACUUAAAAAUGCAGGAGAGAGAAUAGAGUAGUAUGACUUCUCAUAAUAUUCAAUCCUCUAGAGCAAGGGCAAGGAUAGCCUACUGCUACAAAAAAAAAAAAAAAAACUUUUUUUGUCCUUCUCGAACAAAUUAAAAAUCACAGUAUGUUGGAGAGAUGUUAUGGCAGGUCAUGAGAACUGCCCAGAUCCAGGAAUUCACUGGAUUUAAGAUUAGGUUUGUGCUUUUUCUCAGGGUACUGAAAUCCCGUUGUGAAAACCUGAAUGAGUGACUUGAUCUGUGAAAGAUGGACCAAGAAAAUCCACUAUGGAUACAACUGCUAAACCUAAGAAUAGAAAUUGAAUGGGGGUGAUUGAGUCAUGAAGCCAUGAACAAGAGACUCUCUACCAAGAGUGAAUCAGCUGUAGAAACCAGUGACUGAGAGAAAAGCAUUGAUAAAAUCUCAGAGAGAGGGUUUGACUUCGAGGUUGCUGGUCCUUGCUAUGUUUUCUCUUUUGAAUGCAUAUGUUACUACUACUACUCAUAUUGUUUCCUAGGCAAAGAUGGUUUCACAAACACUUGAUGAAUAUAUAUUCAUGCCUUCCAUGAUGAAAAAUUAACUAUUAACUAAAUUUGCAUGAAUUAUCCUUUAUUGCUGCACAAAAGCUAAUGAAGGUUUUUCUUAAUUGUUUUUGUCUCUAAUUGGAUUCAUAAAUGUGGUCCUUAUAAAUGUCUCUAGAAUGUUUUGUUGGUUAUACUGGAGAGCAUUAUAGCCCUGAUUGCUUUGAUUCUCCAUGUAUGCUUUAAAGUUUGAAUUGCAAUGAAAUAAAAAUAUUUCAAAGAAGUGGAACUGUGCUGAAUCCUGGAGAUGGCCUGGUCUAGUUGGCUUAAGAAGGAUGUGCCAGGGCUGGAAAGGUGUCUCAGAAAUUGAGAACGCUGACUAGCUCUUCCAGAGGUCCUGAGUUCAAUUCCCUGAAGACAGCUAAAAUAUAUGCACAUACAUAAAAUCAAUAAAUAAGACUUUUUUUAAAAGUAUGUGCCAUAUUAUUUUAAGUUUAGGGACAAUAGCUCCUGGGGCAAGGUGUCCAGUCAGGUUUCUGACACCUGAAGCAGUACCUCAGUCAACGGAGCAUUCAGGCACCUGUGUAACUCUGUAUUACCAAAAAAGUCAGCCAAGCAUACAGAAGCUUCACAGGACAAUUAUUUUCAGACAUUAACCUUUUGUACUCUGUAUAGCUUGCAAAUGUUAUGUGUCUUAGCAACUACAAUUGUUCUCCUCCUGGAGACAUCCAUUAUAUUUUAUUUCUGAUAAGUGUGUAAAAAGUAUGACUGCAUGCAAUGAACUUGUCACAUCCCCAGGCUUCUUGUAGCCUCUCUUGCUAGAUGAGAUUUCCUCAAACAAUAAUCAGGCAUGGUAAGGAAGGGAUGAUGUUGCAUCUAGCCAAAGAGUUUUUGAUUCUAUGAAGUAUUGCUGAAAUCCCCUGACUCAAUGUGGAAACCCCAGUUCUUUCUGCCCUAACAUGAAUCCGUCACCCACUAAACCAUGCAUCGUUGUAGUCAUAACAAAUCAAUUUCUAAGGAUAUGAUAGAUACAUGUGAAGUAAUGACCAAAAGAGAAAAAAGGAUCUGCAUUUACCUUUCCAUGUCUAAAAAAAAAAAAAAAAAAACCCUUACAUAAACUCUACUGUUCCUCUCCCUUUUUGAUAGGAAUCACCUUUCUCACUAGAAGGUCUCUUUUUCCUUCUCUUGGAAAUAAAUAAUCACUUCUGCUGGAGUACACUACUCUACUCCUUUUCCGCCUUCUUUCUUUCUACAUUGCCUGAGAAACAUAACAGGGUAAAUGGAGAAAAAAAAAAAAAAACCUCUACCCACCACUAAAAAGCACACCUCUUUAACCAUAUCACAAUGAUAACAAAUCUUCAAACAGAAAAACAAUAAGGGACUGAACAUGAACUAAUAUUGACUCAUAUUAGUGGCAUUUGUGAUUUUUCUACAAUAAGAGACAUUAAUAAUCCCCUGCUUUCACAGAGCCAUGAAUUUUGCUCAGGAACUUUGAAUAUCCACAUAUGGCAUAUAUAAUCAAAUUCAAAGUUUUUCCCUGAGGCCAUUUAAAAUGAUAUUUCCAAUUUCAUUGUCAAUUAUAAAUGAUUUCCACUGCUUUAACAAAACUGUUUAAUUUUUUCAAUGAAGUAUUUAACUCCAUAUUACAUCUGUUGUACAGUUUAAGGUAAUUCAUCCUCCAUAAUGCUUGUUUCUGAAGUGAGCUCUCCUGAUUUACCUCUGCCCCAGUACAUUGUACCCAUAAAAAUUUGUGAACUGCCAGAUCAGUCACUAACAUUCUGUUACUGAGCUCUGGAUUUCUAAAUGACUGCUAGCUUCCAAUGAGGCAUCAUUUUUAGUUACCCAUGUUUUCCCUCAUUUUACAAAAUAAUGUGAAAUCAAAAUAGAAAGAGCUUCUACUGUCAUUCUGAGCCAUGGAAUUUCUUCUGAAAAUAAGAACAUUUGAAAUUGAUGCUUGAGAGACAAACUUCUCUUACGAUGUUGAAUUUACACAGUAGAGUAUAAUAAAAUAAUUUACAGUUC